GGAUGUAGCUCAGUGGUAGAGCCCCGGAUUGUGGCUCCGGUGGUCG
rnacentral:tRNA from 1 species